rnacentral:lncRNA from 1 species
GAGUAUUGAAUGCUGGGUGUGUGGCCUGUUCGUGAUCACUGGGAGGUCCCUGACUCUGAUUGGGCAAAAGUCGAUGGUUCCAUUCCUUGUCCUGACUGGACCAAGUUCUUUCGAUUCACCAAAGAUGGUGAGCUUCUUCGUCUAUGCUUUUACUUUUUCUUAUUUCCUUCAUAACACUUUAUUGCUUAUCUGUUGUUCUUCGUUAUAGAGGUAAAUGCCAUCAAGGCCGAGGAACGCAAUGAUUGCAUUCUUGGGGUGGAAUCUCCUUCGGAAUGCGAGGAAAU